AUACAGGAGUCUCUGAUUGAAUCAUCUCAGCUCUCAUAUCACGUAUGACGCGCCUACGUCACGUCGUCACAACCUGAAGCUAAAGUGGCGAGAGAGCCGUCUCGGCUCGAGCGCGGUCCGGAUUUUAGCUCCACACUGUCGCCAGCCAGACUCCCCACCACAGUGACACAAACCAACCAGCCGCCUCGAGAGGUUGCUGAAGAGGUAUGCAGCGAUGGUCUGGAGGAAAAAAUAGUCACAUGGACUGGUGUGCAUUCCAGUACUUGAAAUGAUGCUGUUGCUCAGGCACAUCCAGGUGCGAGGAUGGGGGAGAUCCGGAUGUCGCUAAAUAAAAGAAUCUGUGAACUGCUUCACCAAGAGAAAAAGAAGUCCAUGGACAGGCCUAUGAGCCCUCUUGUUGACCUUGAGUGACUGAGGCUGCGGGCGGUCUGCCCCUGAAUUCACCUUCACUUUCUUUUCUUUUUUAAAAAAAAUAUAUCUGAAGGUGUGUGUGUGUGUGCGCGCGCGCGGGUGUGUGUGUGUGGGCGCGGGCACGCGUAUGUGUUUGUGUGUGUGCGCGUGUGUGUGCACGCGUGCAUGUGUGCCAGUGCUUUAUGUGAGGUGUUUCGCUUACCGGCCACAGCCACAGUUUUUGUUUUGUUUUCUUUUUGUUUUAUUUGGGUUUUUUUUUUUUUUUUUUUUAAGAAUAUUUCUGCUUUUUCAUUAAGUACAAGUUACUGGCCAAAGUGGGAGACUGAAAUUGUUACUGGCCACAGGCAAGUUUCACCAGCAUUUGGCCUGUUGGCCGGUGUCGUUGUCAAGUCGUUUCCCUGCCUGUCUGCCCCUCUGUCUCUGCAUGUGGGAGCGGUGGUGUUAAAGGGUCGGUUGGUUUCAUGUUUUUAAUAAACCAAUGUCAACAGUUGAAUGAAUUGAAUUGAUGUUUGGUCAUUGUUGUAAUUACAUUACUUCAUAAAUGCCUUGUAUAAAGUACGUUACAGUAUAUUGUGUAGUGUAAUGCAAUACAUAAGUCAAUAUAUGAUUUAAUUAAUAAGCCAUAUACUAUGGGAUAUAAUCCAAUAUAUGCAACAGUAUACUUUACAGUAUAAUGCAAUACAUAAAUCAAUAUAUGAUUCAUCAAUAAGCCAUAUAUUAUGGGAUAUAAUUCAAUAUAUGCAGUAAUAUACUGUACAGUAUAAUGCAAUACAUUAAUCAGUAUA